rnacentral:misc_RNA from 1 species
AACGCACAUUGCGCCCGCCAGCAUUCUGGCGGGCAUGCCUGUUCGAGCGUCAUUUCAACCAUCAAGCCCCCGGGCUUGUGUUGGGGACCUGCGGCUGCCGCAGGCCCUGAAAAGCAGUGGCGGGCUCGCUGUCGCACCGAGCGUAGUAGCAUACAUCUCGCUCUGGUCGCGCCGCGGGUUCCGGCCGUUAAACCACCUUUUUAACCCAAGGUUGACCUCGGAUCAGGUAGGAAGACCCGCUGAACUUAA